rnacentral:rRNA from 1 species
CACGUAGGAGGCGAGCGUUGUCCGGAAUCAUUGGGCGUAAAGAGCGCGCAGGCGGCUUGGCAAGUCGGGUGUGAAAUCCCGGGGCUCAACCCCGGGACUGCAUUCGAUACUGUCAGGCUAGAGGUAGGUAGGGGAGAUCGGAAUUCCUGGUGUAGCGGUGAAAUGCGCAGAUAUCAGGAGGAACACCGGUGGCGAAGGCGGAUCUCUGGGCUUUACCUGACGCUCAGGCGCGAAAGCUAGGGGAGCGAACAGG